GACGACCGAUAGUGUACCAGUACCGUGAGGGAAAGGUGAAAAGUACCCCGAUAAGGGGAGUGAAAUAGUUCCUGAAACCGGGUGCAUACAAUCAGUUGGAGCAUGCUUAUUUAUAAGUAUGUGACAGCGUACCUUUUGCAUAAUGGGUCAGCGAGUUAGUCUUAUAAGCAAGCUUAAGCCGAAUAGGUGUAGGCGAAGCGAAAGCGAGUCUGAACAGGGCGAAUUAGUUUAUAGGAUUAGACCCGAAACUAGGUGAUCUAACCAUGAGCAGGUUGAAGGUGAUGUAACAGUCACUGAAGGACCGAACCCACGUCUGUUGAAAAAGACGGGGAUGACUUGUGGUUAGGGGUGAAAGGCCAAUCAAACCUAGAGAUAGCUGGUUCUCCGCGAAAUCUAUUUAGGUAGAGCGUUAGACGAAUACCUUCAGGGGUAGAGCACUGAAUAGGCUAAGGGGCUUUAUUAGCUUACUAAACUUAAUCAAACUCCGAAUACUGAAGAGUACUAUCUAGCAGACAGACUACGGGUGCUAAGGUCCGUAGUCGAGAGGGAAACAGCCCAGACCGCCAGUUAAGGUCCCUAAGUUAUGGCUAAGUGGGAAAGGAUGUAGGAUAGCCAAAACAGCCAGGACGUUGGCUUAGAAGCAGCCAUCGUUUAAAGAAAGCGUAACAGCUCACUGGUCUAAAUAAGCUAUCCCGCGCCGAAGAUGUAACGGGGCUCAAGCCAUACACCGAAACUGCGGAUUUAUUUUUAAUAAUAAAUGGUAGCGGAGCGUUCCGUAAGCCUGUGAAGAUGUGCCGUAAGGCAUAUUGGAGGUAUCGGAAGUGAGAAUGCUGACAUGAGUAGCGAUAAAGGGAGUAAAAACCUCCCUCGCCGAAAGCCCAAGGGUUCCUGCGCAAGGCCAAUCCACGCAGGGUAAGUCGACACCUAAGACGAGGCGGAAACGCGUAGUCGAUGGAAAACAGGUUAAUAUUCCUGUACCCGCGAGAAGUGACGGCUUUUGAACGUAGUAGUGUCUUAUUGGAUUGAUACUGCUGCUAAAAAAGUCCAGGAAAUAGCUCUCGCAAUAUACGGAUCGUACCCCAAACCAACACAGGUGGGCAGGUUGAGUAUACUAAGGCGCUUGAGAGAACAAUGUUGAAGGAACUCGGCAAAUUACCCUCGUAACUUCGGGAAAAGAGGGCCCAAAAGUAAGGAAACUUGUUUUUGGGGGCACAAACCAGGGGGUAGCGACUGUUUACUAAAAACAUAGGACUCUGCAAAGUCGCAAGACGAAGUAUAGGGUCUGACGCCUGCCCGGUGCCGGAAGGUUAAGAGGAAGUGUGCAAGCACAAAAUUGAAGCCCCGGUGAACGGCGGCCGUAACUAUAACGGUCCUAAGGUAGCGAAAUUCCUUGUCGGGUAAGUUCCGACCUGCACGAAAGGGGUGUAACGAUUUCCCCACUGUCUCCAACAUUGACUCAGCGAAAUUGAAUUCUCCGUGAAGAUGCGGAGUACCCGCGGUUAGACGGAAAGACCCCG
rnacentral:rRNA from 1 species